UGAACGCUGGCGGCAGGCCUAACACAUGCAAGUCGAGCGGAUGAAGGGAGCUUGCUCCUGGAUUCAGCGGCGGACGGGUGAGUAAUGCCUAGGAAUCUGCCUGGUAGUGGGGGAUAACGUCCGGAAACGGGCGCUAAUACCGCAUACGUCCUGAGGGAGAAAGUGGGGGAUCUUCGGACCUCACGCUAUCAGAUGAGCCUAGGUCGGAUUAGCUAGUUGGUGGGGUAAAGGCCUACCAAGGCGACGAUCCGUAACUGGUCUGAGAGGAUGAUCAGUCACACUGGAACUGAGACACGGUCCAGACUCCUACGGGAGGCAGCAGUGGGGAAUAUUGGACAACGGGCGAAAGCCUGAUCCAGCCAUGCCGCGUGUGUGAAGAAGGUCUUCGGAUUGUAAAGCACUUUAAGUUGGGAGGAAGGGCAGUAAGUUAAUACCUUGCUGUUUUGACGUUACCAACAGAAUAAGCACCGGCUAACUUCGUG
rnacentral:rRNA from 1 species